rnacentral:lncRNA from 1 species
CACUCUUUUAAACCACAACAUGUAUGCGUAUCUAUGUCAAAUAAUCGAAUUCCAUCUUGUUGGUGACCUAAGUAAAAAACCAAAGAUAGUACAAACAUGAUCCUACAAAUGAAAUGAACAUGGAGCAUAUGUAACACGAUUAUUUACAUGGUAAAACAAUGAAAUCUUAAGUUCCUGCAAUAGCAAAGAAGAACCGCACAAUGACCAAGGAUGAGGGUACCAAAGUGCCGAUCAACCGUAAUAAUGAUUAAGCAUCUGACGAAACUUAACCAACUCUCAAGUCAUUAAGGGAUGGUGAGAUGAAAC